rnacentral:rRNA from 1 species
GACGUAGGGUCCGAGCGUUGUCCGGAGUUACUGGGCGUAAAGCGCGCGCAGGCGGUUGGUCGCAUCGGCGGUGAAAGCCCCCCGCUCAACGGGGGAGGGUCCGUCGAGAUGGGCCGACGUGGCGAGGCAGGGAGAGGCCAGUGGAAUUCCGGGUGUAGUGGUGAAAUGCGUAGAGAUCCGGAGGAACACCAGUGGCGAAGGCAGCGCUCUGGUCGGCAUCUGACGCUGAGGCGCGAAAGCUAGGGGAGCAAACAGG